CUCGGACUUCUCUUGAACUGAAUUUUAAAUGUGCGUAUUGUUAUGCGUUUACUUUUCUACAUUGGCUAGAGGUAUAGGGGGAGGGUUGAGAUCUCAUAAACAUGUUUAACCCCGCCACAUUUUUGCGCCUGUCCCAAGUCAGGAGCCUCUGGCCUUUGUUAGUCUUGUAUUAUUUUAAUUUUAGUUUCUUGUGUACAAUUUGGAAAUUAGUAUGGCGUUCAUUAUCACUGAACUAGUAUAUAUUUGUUUAGGGGCCAGCUGAAGGACGCCUCUGGGUGCAGGAAUUUCUCGCCACAUUGAAGACCUGUUGGUGACCUUCUGCUGUUGUUUUUUCUACGGUCGGGUUGUUGUCUCUUUGACACAUUCCUCAUUUCCAUUCUCAAUUUUAUUAUUUUUGGUUACUAUCUGUGGGAAAUAUUAUAUUGCUAUAGAUGCAAUAAUAAGGGUUAUUGCAUGAAUAUUAGGGAAUAUUGUCCCGAGUAGAAUUAUAUAUUGCACAACCUUGCGAGUGCAAUAUAUGUUCUGCGAG
rnacentral:lncRNA from 1 species